rnacentral:rRNA from 1 species
CGGUUAAAAAGCUCGUAGUUGGAUUUCUGUUGAGGAAGUCCGGUCCGCACUUUGUGCGUGAUCUGGUUCUGCCUCGGCAUCCUCGUGGGGAACGUGCUGCGCUUGAUUGCGUGGUAUGGUAUUCACGACUUUUACUUUGAGGAAAUUAGAGUGUUCACGGCAGGCAAUCGCCUUGAAUACGUUAGCAUGGAAUAAUAAUAUAGGACCUUGGUUCUAUUUUGUUGGUUUCUAGAACUAAGGUAAUGAUUAAUAGGGAUAAUUGGGGGCAUUUGUAUUAACACGUCAGAGGUGAAAUUCUUGGAUUGUGUUACGACAAACUACUGCGAAAGCAUUUGCCAAGGAUGUUUUCAUUGAUCAAGAACGAAAGUAAGGGGAUCGAAGACGAUUAGAUACCGUCGUAGUCUUUACCAUAAACUAUGCCAACUAGAGAUUGGAGGUCGUUCUUUUUAUGACUCCUUCAGCACCUUAUGAGAAAUCAAAGUCUUUGGGUUCCGGGGGGAGUAUGGUCACAAGGCUGAAACUUAAAGGAAUUGACGGAUUGGCACCACCAGGAGUGGAGCCUGCGGCUUAAUUUGACUCAACACGGGGACACUUACC